UCUCAUUUUCUUUAUUGAAAAGAGGCGCUCCUUGAGCGUAUACGUUGGGACCCGAAAGAUGGUGAACUAUGCCUGGCGAGGACAAAGUCAGGGGAAACCCUGAUGGAGGUCCGUAGCGAUUCUGACGUGCAAAUCGAUCGUCGGAGCUGGGUAUAGGGGCGAAAGACUAAUCGAACCAUCUAGUAGCUGGUUCCCUCCGAAGUUUCCCUCAGGAUAGCUGGCAUUCAUGAAAAAAUAUAUAACGAGUCUCAUGCGGUAAAGCGAAUGAUUAGAGGCCUUGGGGCCGAAACGACCUCAACCUAUUCUCAAACUUUAAAUGG
rnacentral:rRNA from 1 species